CUCACCACUGGUGAGUUCAACUCACUCUAUCGAAAAGUGUCGUUUAAUUCUGACUUUCAGAUACCGACGUUAGACAGGUACGAAGUGAACCCCCAUAACCCCAACCUGUGGAGGUUAAAACCCCGGUCACCCCCACCCAAGGGCCCUAAUUUCAGCUAUACGUCGAAAAGGAGGAUUACGGUCAACAAAUGAGGAGCGAACAUCGAGUUGCCAAACUUCCCUCGUAAGGAAUUACGAGUCUGUAUCAAGAGGAUAGAUGAGAUUACCACUCGCGAGGAAGCAGUAGGGGCAGCCC